CCAAUAGCGUAUAUUAAAGUUGUUGCAGUUAAAAAGCUCGUAGUUGAAUUUCGGGGUCAGUAGAUUGGUCAUGCCACUGGUAUGUACUGGUCUCACUGAUUCCUCCUUCCUGAUGAGCCGUAAUGCCAUUAAUUUGGUGUUGCGAGGAAUCUGGACUGUUACUUUGAAAAAAUUAGAGUGUUUAAAGCAGGCUAACGCUUGAAUACAUUAGCAUGGAAUAAUGAAAUAGGACGUUCGAUCUUAUUUUGUUGGUUUCUAAGAUUGACGUAAUGAUUAAUAGGGAUAGUUGGGGGCAUUAGUAUUCAAUUGUCAGAGGUGAAAUUCUUGGAUUUAUUGAAGACUAACUACUGCGAAAGCAUUUGCCAAGGAUGUUUUCAUUAAUCAAGAACGAAAGUUAGGGGAUCGAAGACGAUCAGAUACCGUCGUAGUCUUAACCAUAAACUAUGCCGACUAGGGAUCGGAUGAUGUUAAUUUUUUAAUGACUCAUUCGGCGCCUUAC
rnacentral:rRNA from 1 species